rnacentral:misc_RNA from 1 species
AACGCACCUUGCGCCCCUUGGCUAUUCCAAGGGGCAUGCCUGUUUGAGUAUCAUGAACACCUCAACUCUCAUGGUUUGCCAUGAUGAGCUUGGACUCUGGGGGUUUUGCUGGCCUGCUGUCAGCUCCUCUGAAAUGAAUCAGCUUGCCAGUGUUUGGUGGCGUCAUGGGUGUGAUAACUAUCUACGCUUGUGGUCGUCUGCUGGGUAACCUUCAGUGAUGGGGGUUCGCUGGUGCUUAUAAAUGUCUCUCCUCAGUGAAGACAGCUCUUUGAACGUUCGAUCUCAAAUCAGGUAGGACUACCCGCUGAACUUAA